rnacentral:rRNA from 1 species
GAUGAACGCUGGCGGCGUGCUUAACACAUGCAAGUCGAACGAACAGGCGCGGAGCUUGUUGGUCGGUCGUGAGCAGCGGAGGGGUGAGGAACACGUGGAUAGCCUCCUUAUCAGACUUGGAUGACUACGGGAAAACGGAGCUGAUAAUAGAGGAUAUACUGAACCGCAUGGUUGAUUGGUGAAGGACGGUUUUUGUGUCGCUUCUGGAUGGAUCCGCGCCGGAUUAGCUAGUUGGUAGGGUAACGGCUUACCAAGGCAGCGAUGCGUAGCCGGCCUGAGAGGGGGGUCGGCGGCCAUAGAGGGGAGACGCGGCCCAGAAGCCUACGGGAGGCAGCAGUAGGGGAUGUUACGCAACGGUGGGAAGCAUGACGGAGCAGCGCCGCGGCAGUGGUGAAGGUGUUCGGAGCGUAAUGAUCUGUUAUUGGGGGAGAACAAAUGUGGAAGUGACUGUGGACGGCUUGACGGUACCUGAUCAGGAAGCCACGGCUAACUACGUG